rnacentral:rRNA from 1 species
UACGGAGGGGGCGAGCGUUAUUCGGAAUUAUUGGGCGUAAAGGGCGCGUAGGCGGCCUUGCAAGUCAAAGGUGAAAUCCCUCGGCUCAACUGAGGAACUGCCUUUGAAACUGCAAGGCUUGAGGCCGGGAGGGGGUAGCGGAAUUCCCAAUGUAGCGGUGAAAUGCGUAGAUAUUGGGAGGAACACCAGUGGCGAAGGCGGCUACCUGGACCGGUUCUGACGCUGAGGCGCGAAAGCGUGGGUAGCAAACAGG